rnacentral:rRNA from 1 species
UCCUACGGGAGGCAGCAGUGGGGAAUAUUGCACAAUGGGGGAAACCCUGAUGCAGCGACGCCGCGUGAGUGAUGAAGUAUUUCGGUAUGUAAAGCUCUAUCAGCAGGGAAGAUAAUGACGGUACCUGACUAAGAAGCUCCGGCUAAAUACGUGCCAGCAGCCGCGGUAAUACGUAUGGAGCAAGCGUUAUCCGGAUUUACUGGGUGUAAAGGGAGCGUAGACGGCAGCACAAGUCUGAAGUGAAAUGCCGGGGCUUAACCCCGGAACAGCUUUGGAAACUGUGCAGCUAGAGUGCAGGAGAGGUA